GGGGCUGUAGUGUAGCUUGGCUAUCACUCAAGCUCGGGGAGCUUGCAACCGGAGUUCGAAUCUCCGCAGCCCCA
rnacentral:tRNA from 1 species